rnacentral:rRNA from 1 species
GCCAGUAGUCAUAUGCUUGUCUACAAAGAUUAAGCCAUGCAUGUGUAAGUAUAAGUAUUGUACAGCGAAACUGCGAAUGGCUCAUUACAUCAGUUAUAGUUUAUUUGAUAUUUGAAAGUUACAUGGAUAACCGUGGCAAUUCUACAGCUAAUACAUGCUUCAAAACCUGACUUCGGAAGGGUUGUAUUUAUUAGAUAUUAAACCAUCCCCUCGGGGCUGUGAUGAAUCAUAAUAACUGAUCGAAUCGAGGUUCGCCUUGAUAAAUCAUUCAAGUUUCUGCCCUAUCAGCUGUAGAUGGUAGUGUAUUGGACUACCAUGGCUAUUACGGGUAACGGAGAAUUAGGGUUCGAUUCCGGAGAGGGAGCCUGAGAAACGGCUACCACAUCUACGGAUGGCAGGCGCGAAAAUUGCCCAAUCCCGAUUCGGGGGAGGCAGUGACAAGAAAUAACAACCCAGAACAUUGUUUCCGGGAUUGCAAUGAGAAC